rnacentral:rRNA from 1 species
GCUGGCGGUAUGCUUAACACAUGCAGUCGAACGGUAGCAGCAAGAGCUUGCUCUUGGCUGACGAGUGGCGGACGGGUGAGUAACGCGUGGGAAUCUGCCUUAUAGUGGGGGAUAGCCCGGAGAAAUCCGGAUUAAUACCGCAUACGCCCUACGGGGGAAAGUUGGGGAUCUUCGGACCUGACGCUAUUAGAUGAGCCCGCGUUAGAUUAGCUUGUUGGUGGGGUAAUGGCCUACCAAGGCGACGAUCUAUAGCUGGUCUGAGAGGACGAUCAGCCACACUGGGACUGAGACACGGCCCAGACUCCUACGGGAGGCAGCAGUGGGGAAUAUUGCACAAUGGGCGCAAGCCUGAUGCAGCAAUACCGCGUGUGUGAAGAAGGCCUGCGGGUUGUAAAGCACUUUCAAUUGUGAGGAAAAGCUUUUGGUUAAUAACCUUGAGUCUUGACGUUAGCAAUACAAGAAGCACCGGCUAACUCCGUGCCAGCAGCCCGCGGUAAUACGGAGGGUGCAAGCGUUAAUC